CAAGAUGUGUGUAGACAGUGUGUGACGGUCCCUCGGUCAAACUUUAUGUUCGGCUAUAUUUCACGAUAAUGGAUGCUGGAAGAGAAGAAAAAGAUUUACUGCACAUCUUUAACAUUUGAUCGUUAUUAUGCGGUCAAAGGGAAUGUUAUAUACCUUAAUCUCAACGAUCAAGACUCCAAAUAUCGCGCUCGCUAUCUGAGAACCAAGUAGAGCACCAUGAUGUCCAGAACUGGAAAUGACACGCGAUAAUCUAACUAGCAACUUUAAAAACUGAUCGACUUAGCAUCGAUUUUACUCGGAAGUGGAUGAAUAAAAGCGUUAUAGGCUGAAGAAUGGAAGUCCUCCGCAAGAGAUAGC